GACGAACGCUGGCGGCGUGCUUAACACAUGCAAGUCGAACGGAAAGGCCCUGCUUUUGUGGGGUGCUCGAGUGGCGAACGGGUGAGUAACACGUGAGUAACCUGCCCUUGACUUUGGGAUAACUUCAGGAAACUGGGGCUAAUACCGGAUAGGAGCUCCUGCUGCAUGGUGGGGGUUGGAAAGUUUCGGCGGUUGGGGAUGGACUCGCGGCUUAUCAGCUUGUUGGUGGGGUAGUGGCUUACCAAGGCUUUGACGGGUAGCCGGCCUGAGAGGGUGACCGGCCACAUUGGGACUGAGAUACGGCCCAGACUCCUACGGGAGGCAGCAGUUGGGAAUAUUGCACAAUGGGCGGAAGCCUGAUGCAGCCACGCCGCGUGCGGGAUGACGGCCUUCGGGUUGUAAACCGCUUUCGCCUGUGACGAAGCGUUAGUGACGGUAAUGGGUAAAGAAGCACCGGCUAACUACGUG
rnacentral:rRNA from 1 species